GUGAGGAACCUGCCCCGAUCUCUGGGAUAACAGUGGGAAACCGCUGCUAAUACCAGAUGGGCUCGGAUGACGACAUCGUCGACCGAGGAAAGCUUUUGCGGACCGGGAGGGCCUCGCGGCCUAUCAGCUUGUUGGUGGGGUAACGGCCUACCAAGGCAUCGACGGGUAGCUGGUCUGAGAGGACGACCAGCCACACUGGGACUGAGACACGGCCCAGACUCCUACGGGAGGCAGCAGUAGGGAAUCUUGCGCAAUGGGCGAAAGCCUGACGCAGCAACGCCGCGUGGGGGAUGAAGGCCCUCGGGUUGUAAACCCCUUUCAGCAGGAACGAAUCUGACGGUACCUGCAGAAGAAGGUCCGGCCAACUACGUGCCAGCAGCCGCGGUAACACGUAGGGGCCAAGCGUUGUCCGGAUUUAUUGGGCGUAAAGAGCUCGUAGGCGGUUCGACAAGUCGGGUGUGAAAACUCCGGGCUCAACCCGGAGACGCCACCCGAUACUGUCGUGACUGGAGUCCGGUAGGGGAGUGGGGAAUU
rnacentral:rRNA from 1 species